CCAGCAUGCCAUGUGCUAAUGUCAUGUACUGCUUCAUUAGUAAGCAUGCUUAGCAUUUACUUUAGAAUGGAAAUAGUCACCAUUUUAUGUGAUUACCCUUUAAAAUGUUUUAUAGGAAUAUAUUAAUAAAUAUAUAUUUAAAAAAAAACCCUGCUUUUCUCUACAUCAUUUAACUAUUUACUAGGAGGCAGGGUUUUCUGGUUGGAGCCUAGUACUGAUUAGAAACUCAUGUGGUCAUGGGUACAUUUUUUUUCUCUCUCUAGUAUGCAGGUUCUUCCUUUAACAAAUGAGAAUAUUAGAGUCUAUUAAUGAUUUAUUCCAGUUAGAAAAGUUUUGAAUCUGCACUGAGACAUCUUACAGGAAUCAUACUACCUAGAGGAUGAGGCUAUGGAAAGGUGAGAUGCACCUUAUGUAAGGAAAACAAGUAG